rnacentral:rRNA from 1 species
AUUGAACGCUGGCGGCAUGCCUUACACAUGCAAGUCGAACGGCAGCACGGGGGCAACCCUGGUGGCGAGUGGCGAACGGGUGAGUAACGCAUCGGAAUGUACCCAGUAGUGGGGGAUAACUAGUCGAAAGACUAGCUAAUACCGCAUACGCACUGAGGUGGAAAGCGGGGGAUCGCAAGACCUCGCGCUAUUGGAGCAGCCGAUGUCCGAUUAGGUAGUUGGUGGGGUAAAGGCCUACCAAGCCUGCGAUCGGUAACUGGUCUGAGAGGACGACCAGUCACACUGGGACUGAGACACGGCCCAGACUCCUACGGGAGGCAGCAGUGGGGAAUUUUGGACAAUGGGCGCAAGCCUGAUCCAGCAAUGCCGCGUGUGUGAAGAAGGCCUUCGGGUUGUAAAGCACUUUUGGCGGGAGCGAAACGGCGUUUUGCUAAUACCAGACGCUAAUGACGGUACCCGCAGAAUAAGCACCGGCUAACUACGUGCCAGCAGCCGCGGU